CGGAACGGCGCGCGCGCAGCCGCAGUGGUGAGCAGGAAGUGUGCGGCUGUGGGCUUCUGGCUCGGAUACUCUCGCGCUUCGUUUUCCCUAGUCUGUCCCACGGAGGGGAUUUGGAUACUUUCCAGUUGGGACUACUAUAAAUUGUGCUGCGAUGAACACUCUUCUGUAUGAUUUUUGGUGAACACAAGAACAGACAUCCCUCAGGAAUAUAUCUAGCAGUGGAACUGUUGGAUUAUAGGGUAUAUAUGUACUUAGAUACUAGAUAGUAGAUACUGCCAAACAGUUUAUUUGGUACCAGUUGUGUAUAAGAGUUCUUGUUGCUCCACAGCUUUAUCAAUAUUUGAUAUUUUUUGUGCUUUUCAUCUUGGCCAUCCUGGUGAGUAUGUCAUAGGACUUCAUUGUGUAUUUAAUUUACAUUUCUCUGAUGCCUAAUGAAGAUGAAUCAUUUGUCAUAUGUUUAUGUUCUUUAGAUACUUUCUUUUGUAAAAUGUCUGUUCAAGUCUUUGGCCCAUUUUAUAUUGGGUUGCCUUUAUUUUUUUUUUCAAUGAAGUGAUUUUUUUUCAAGAUUUUAUUUAUUUUUUUGUAAUGGGGGGGAGGGAGAGGGUGUAAAGCAGGAGGAACAGCAGGAGGAGGGAGGAGCAGACUCCCUGCUGAGCAAGAAGCCCAAUGCAGAACUUGAUCCCACAACCCUGAGAUCAUGACCUGAGCCGAAGGCAGAUGCUUAACCGACUGAGCCACCCAGGCACCCCUGCCUGUAUUUUUCUUAUUGAUUGUAGAAGUUCUUUAUAUAUUCUGGAUACUUGUCCUUUGUUGGAUAUAAGUACAGCAAAUGUCAUCUUCCUUGCUGAGUUGCCUUCUGUAAUAUAUUGUUUUGAUGAGCAGUAUUUUAAAUUUUUUAAAAGAUUUUAUUAAUUUACUUGAGAGAGAGAGUGAGUGAGAGCAUGAGCAGUGGGGAGGGGCAGAGGGAGAAGCAGACUCCCUGCUGAGCAGGGAGCCCAAUGUGGGGCUUGAUCCCAGGACCCUGGGAUCAUGACCUGAGCCGACGGCAGACGCUUAACCGGCUGAGCCACCCAGGCACCCCUUAAAUUGUUUAAUAUAGUGUAAUUUAUCAGUUUUUUCUUUUGUGGUUGGCAUUUUUGGUAUUUUAAAUAGGCUCCAUGCCUAACUUGGGGCUCGAACUCAUGACGCAGAGAUCAAGAGCACAACUGAGCCAGCAGGUGCCCCUUUGGUUUCUUAUUUAAAUUUUUUCCUUUUCAAAAUCAUGAAGAUGUUCUAUGUUUUUUUUCCAAAAACUGUAUUGUUUUACCUUUUAAUUAGAUCAAAACUCACCUAGAAUUGUUUUAUUAUAUGAUCUGAGAUUGGGAUUAAGGUUCAUUUUUUAUUUUUAGGAAUAUUUAACUGACCUGGCACCAUUUAUUAAAAACAUCACAUAUUCCCUCAUUGCAUUUUAUCUGGUUUAGAUCUGUUUCUGGAGUUUCUAUUUGGUCUCUUUUUCUGUCCCUUAGCAUUAUUUUAAAUGGCUGUAUACUAUUUCAUUGUCUGGAAGUGUCAUAUCCCCAAUUGCUAGGAAUUUAAGUUGCUUUUACUUCAAACAUAUUUUCUAAGACCUAUCUCCCUAUUCCAAAAAUAGUAUUUUCUAUUUCAUCAGUGAGUCUUACAUACCCCGUUCCCAGUUGGGUGUGUUGUGGAAUUUUUUAAAAAGAUUUUAUUUAUUUAUUUGAGAGAGAGAGCGCUCAAGGAGGGGUGGAGGAGGAGGGAGAGGGAGUGAGAGAGAGAAUCUCAAGCAGACUCUGCACUGAGCAUGGAGCCAGACUCAAGGCUUGAUCCCUUGACCCUGAGAUCAUGACCUGAGCCAAAACUAGGGGUUGGAUGCUUAACUGACUGAGCCACCCAGGCGCCCAUGGAUUUUUUUUUUAAUUUUAAUUUCAAUUUUUAAUUUUUUAAAGAUUUUAUUCAUUUAUUUGACAGAGAGAGACACAGCGAGAGAGGGAACACAAGCAGGGGGAGUAAAAGAAGGAGAAGCAGACUCCCCACUGAGCAGGGAGCCCGAUGCGGGGCUCGAUCCCAGGACCCUGGGAUCAUGACCUGUGCCGAAGGCAGACGCUUAAAGACUGAGCCACCCAGGCGCCCCUGGAUUUUUUUUUUUUUUAAAGUAAAACCGUGCUGUGGAAUAAGAGGGAGUGAGGGCCCUUCUCUGGGGGCUGCAGAAUGAUAGCUGCUGUGCAAAGGAAGGGUCUUUUCAAGAGCCAGGGUCUCUGGGGCUGUUGGCAGAGUCACUCUGGUGCCUGGGGCGAGCUGUGUGCAUCUACAUUAGCAGUUCUGGACCCUGAAGAGCAGCAGUGACCCUGGGAUACAUGGAGAUGAGAGAAGGGAGGCUGCUGAACCAGCCACUCCUUAGCUUGACAAAAUUUCCUAUCCAUCCCUUCUUCUGAGGAGCCCAGCCCCCUUGCUUCCACCCCAUCUGCCAGGGAAAUCUUCCUUCUUUUGUCCAUUACUUGUCCUGGAUCCUAUAUCUUAACUCUGGAGAUAGCUCACAUCCCCAAUAAACUCCUAAUGAAGAUGUUUGGGGAAACAUUCACAAGGGAUGAGACCAGAAAUGCUCAUUUUGCCAAGAGAAACUUAAACUAGCAGCAGAAACAGUCUGGUCUAGAGACUUGCUCCCAGCCACCAGGCCAGCCAGCUGGGGCCAGAGCAAAGACAAGAAACUGGGAAGCCAUGGGUGGAUCAGCCUGUCUAUGGCUUCGGGGCUGAGGAAGUUCUGGUCUCAGCUGUGGACGAAGAUGCUCUUCCAGCCUUCCUCCUACCUCGCCCAGGAAGAAUGGGUCAGAGCCAAGAGCCACACAGAUGUUCCCUGUGAAUGACAGAGGCAGUGAAAAGGCGCGGGAAGGUGGAGGGAGCUGAUCUGCUAGAGACCAGGGUGGGAGGGGGCUGCAAGAGAAGCCAGGGGAAAAGGCUGACAGAGUGAACGACUGUCAUGUUUGCUUUCUCCUAAUUAAUGUGGUUUCCUUACAAACCCCUGCUGAUUCCCAGCUGGUUGACUCAACCAUAACAACACGUGGCCUGCCCUGCCCAGGCCAGGAGCCCGGGCUGUGAGCCUCCCAAGAAGGGUCUGGUUUCAUCUGCAGCAGCUGCCCCUCCUCCCCAACUGGCUUUGUGCAGUUGAGGGAAGGGACAACACCUCAACGGAGAGCGUGAGAGGUUGCGGGGGACAGCCAGGGACUGCUUGCUUUGGGCUCGCCUGGCUGCUCACCUGUGUUUCCGGUGACCUUUAAAAAAGGGCAGUUUCUUGCUGGUCUGGCAGGGCUGCUGCCUCCAAACAGGUGCUGCUUUGUCCACCAGAAGGGUAACUGCUAAGUGGGCCUGCGUCUCUGGUGCCCGGCGUGGGGCUUGCGGCUUCGUGAGCUCAGUGAAAGUUUGUGAGGUGAAGAACGGAUAGAUGGGUGGAUUUGCUGGCCCGUGGACUCACUGGUACCUUGUACCUGCACAGCUGAGGCUUGUUGCACCCUCAGGGGACGUGGGAGCACCUAUGCUUGGGCCAGGACUUCUGAGCUGCCCUGCUCCCUACCUUGAACCUCUGGCAUUGGCAGUGGCUCCAUGCUGGACCCAGUGAGGGACGCCACCCGUAGACUUCUGCUGUUAAGGCUCUCGGCGUAGGUGAGAG